rnacentral:rRNA from 1 species
GAUGAACGCUGGCGGCGUGCCUAAUACAUGCCAGUCGAGCGAACGGACGAGAAGCUUGCUUUUCUGAUGUUAGCGGCGGACGGGUGAGUAACACGUGGAUAACCUACCUAUAAGACUGGGAUAACUUCGGGAAACCGGAGCUAAUACCGGAUAAUAUUUUGAACCGCAUGGUUCAAAAGUGAAAGACGGUCUUGCUGUCACUUAUAGAUGGAUCCGCGCUGCAUUAGCUAGUUGGUAAGGUAACGGCUUACCAAGGCAACAAUGCAUAGCCGACCUGAGAGGGUGAUCGGCCACACUGGAACUGAGACACGGUCCAGACUCCUACGGGAGGCAGCAGUAGGGAAUCUUCCGCAAUGGGCGAAAGCCUGACGGAGCAACGCCGCGUGAGUGAUGAAGGUCUUCGGAUCGUAAAACUCUGUUAUUAGGGAAGAACAUAUGUGUAAGUAACUGUGCACAUCUUGACGGUACCUAAUCAGAAAGCCACGGCUAACUACGUG